CAGAGCUGACACAGAAGGGGAAUGUGGCAUAGGUCCCAAAAUGCUCCCUCUCAGGGGCUUGAUGGGUCCUAGUCAAUAUCAAGGUUCAGAUGGCAAUGAUUAAGAGACCAGAUUGGGGGGUAUAGGGAACAAGAUGAGGGGCCAGAGAUGAUGGGGUUAGGGUUAGAUUGUAGGGUAAGGGUUAGAUUGUAGGAUAAGGGUUAGAUGAUGGGGUAAGGGUUAGAUGGUAGGCUAAGGGUUAGAUUGUAGGGGUAAGAGUUAGAUUGUGGGGUAAGGGUUAGAUUGUAGGGUAAUGGUUAGAUUGUAGGGUAAGGGUUAGAUUGUAGGGUAAGGGUUAGAUUGUAGGGUAAGGGUUAGAUUGUAGGGUAAGGGUUAGAUUGUAGGGUAAGGGUUAGAUUGUAGGGUAAGGGUUAGAUUGUAGGGUAAGGGUUAGAUGAUGGGAUAAGGGUUAGAUUGUAGUGUAAGGGUUAGAUGAUGGGGAAAGGGUUAGAUUGUAGAAUAAGGGUUGGAUUAUAGGGUAAGGGUUAGAUGAUAGGGUAAGGGUUAGAUUGUAGGGUAAGGGUUAGAUGAUGGGGUAAGUGUUAGAUGAUGGGGUAAUGGUUAAAUUGUAGGGUAAGGGUUAGAUUGUAGGAUAAGGGUUAGAUUGUAGGAUAAGGGUUAGAUUGUAGGGUAAAUGUUAGAUUGUAGGGAUAAGGGUUAGAUUGUAGGGUAAGGGUUAGAUUGUAGGGUAAAG
rnacentral:lncRNA from 1 species